GGGAGUGGUUGGGUACUGAUGUGUUUUUUCGAUUUCCGUUUUUUUUCUCAUUUAUUUUCCCCCAAACCAACGCCAUCCCCUUUUCUCCCCCCUCAACCCCUCGUCGUCGCCUCUCCGAUUCGCCGACUCGUCUCAUGAACUGAUCUCUCCAUCGCCAUGGAAGAGAUCUCCAAUCUCUUAGACCUCUUCAAGGAUCAUAGUCCCCCUCGCGAUUUCGCUCACCGCUUCCGCUCCGCUCCUAUCAAGUCCGGUCUCUUUCGAUUCCUUGCGAUCCUCGAUUCCGAAGCCCGGCUAGGGUUGGAAUAGUGUUGCGCGUCUCAGAUCGAUGCAGUCAUCUUCGCCGCCAAAUUGCUCGUCGGCUCUUCUCUCUCGAUUUCAGCGGAGAGCGUAGAGUCGUUGGUUUUGGUGAUCCUUGAGAAGUCGGUGGAGUUUUGCCUCUCUAUUCUAGAGAAGCUGAAGUUCGAUGACGCUGAUUUCAGCUUGCAGGUAUAUAUAUCUUGGGUUAUUUGAUAGCGAAAUUGAAGCUGCAAGUUCUUCUGUUGGUGGUCAGGGCUUAUGACCGGGCAGCAAUCAAAAAUAAUGGAAGUGAAGCUGUUAUCAAGUUUAACCCAACUACUUAUGAUGGUGAAAUACUUCCUGAAACCAAUAAUAGUGGUAUUACCGGUUCGUAUAUUUUUUCCACUUGUUUUUUAUGAAGAUAUGAUUUCUGAUGAAGGAUCAUGAACCGGCCUCUAAUUUGCAAUUGUUUAUCCUGGGAUAGUCAGCGGGCUCAAUCUUGAUUUGGAAUUGAAGAUUUCCCAACCAAACAGUCACAACCCUAAUAGGGAUGAUAAAUCCUUGGGCGUUCAAUUCGAUCCGGGCCCUUAUGAAGCUUCAUAUUCUAGGAAUGCUUGAGUAAAUAAGUCUACCAUUGAAACUUUUCUUGACAAUCAUGACAUAGACUUUUAGGAUAAAUUUGAAAGACUUGUUGGUCUUGUUAAAUAAGUAAAAGGCUUGAAAUUUCCGAUUUUUAGCCUUCCUACUUCUAAUGGCUUCCCUGCAACAACUAUACAUGGAGAUCGUACUUAGCCUUUCAAGAGUUUGGAUGGCUUUCUUCUUCCACUAUCAUUAUCUCUAUAAUGAAUAUUAAAGGUGAAGCAAUUUGGUGCAGUGUAUCUGGGUGAUUUGAACUGGGAUUGGGUUGGACAAAUGAGUGUUUGUGCGUGAGAAAGCUUCAAAUUCCUUCAAGUGAGGUUGGACUCCAAUCAUGGUUGCUACAGAUGUGGCUGCUCAUGGUCUCUAUAUCCCUCAUGUGCCUCACGUGAUCAACUUUGAUCUCCCUAAAGACAGAUGACUACGUACAUCGAAUUGGCCGAGAUGGCAAAUACGGCUUAGCUACAACAUUCUUCAAGGAUGGAAACCAAUAACUGGCCAAGUCUCUAGCUGUGCUCAUGCAGGAAGCAAACCAAGAAGUCACAGAUUGGCUUGUAAAAUAUGCUGAAAGUUCGUCUUAUUCAAGUGGGAGAAAUCAUAGGUUUGGUGGUGGUAGCAAAUUCGGUGGCCAUGAUUAUCGAAAAGACUCUUAUUUGAGGAGAUGGAGUUAUAGUUCUCACUCUUAUGGAGAUAGUGAUGGUGGUCACAGCUCGGGGGUCGUUGGAGUGUCUUAUUAUACUCCGGGAUAUGAUUAUAAUGGACCGAUCAUUGCAUCAGGAUGUGACUGAAGAUUUUAGGAGCUUACUUUUGCUGACAGUACAUAGCUGUUAUUAUUAUAUAACAUGAAUGCCUCAUAUAUUAGUUUUGGACACAAAGAUAUGGCUUACUGAAUGGGUGGAGGUGUAGCCUUGUAGUUAAGUUUAGGUCUUGCAGUGCUUUGUUCUCUUUUUGUGGAUAAGCGUCCUUUUGAUUUGGAAACUUGGUGUUACAUCAGACAUGGUUGAUUUCUUGAUAAUUAUGACUAUCAAUUAAGGUAUUAUUGAAUGUUACUGUUUGCGCAAGUUUUUUUCUC